UCUUCUCUAGCUUAAUAGGUAAAGCCCGAAACUGUUAAUUUCGCUUAUUUAGGUUCGAAUCCUAAGGGAAGAG
rnacentral:tRNA from 1 species